rnacentral:rRNA from 1 species
CAGUAGCCGCGGUAAUACGUAGGGUGCAAGCGUUAAUCGGAAUUACUGGGCGUAAAGCGUGCGCAGGCGGUUUGUUAAGGCAGAUGUGAAAUCCCCGGGCUCAACCUGGGAACUGCAUUUGUGACUGGCAAGCUAGAGUGUGGCAGAGGGGGGUGGAAUUCCGCGUGUAGCAGUGAAAUGCGUAGAUAUGCGGAGGAACACCGAUGGCGGAGGCAGCCCCCUGGGCCAACACUGACGCUCAUGCACGAAAGCGUGGGGAGCAAACAGGAUUAGAUACCCCCGUAGUCCCUGUCUCUUAUAC